GGAAGAACUAAAUCAAUUCCUUGCUUUGCUUUGCUUGUGUGUCAGGCUUCUCCUUUCCCUACUAAACAUUGUUUACCUCAACCCAUUAGUUUUGCAGCUUUUACCCUUCCAAUUCUCUCCCUGACCCCACUGGUGGGGGAGUGAGCCAGUGGUUGCGUUGGGCUUGGCUACUGCUGGGGUUGAACCACAACAGAAAGAAUCUCAUUCAUGGACACAACCUUGGACAAAUAUCUGUGUACCAAAAUACCUCAAAACCAAUGGAACUGUGUGAGGAAGACAGAACAACCAGAAAAUUACAACUUCCAAGAGACACUGUACAAAGACACUGUUUUCUCCUUUUCACUGUGGUGGAGCAAAACAUCGUGUGUUGCACAGUGACAUCUCCUGCUCUGCCCUGCUCUGCAAAACUCUCUACUCUGUCCAGCUGGGGCCCAAAGAAA
rnacentral:lncRNA from 1 species